rnacentral:rRNA from 1 species
AUUAAACGCUGGCGGCAUGCCUUACACAUGCAAGUCGAACGGCAGCACGGGGGCAACCUUGGUGGCGAGUGGCGAACGGGUGAGUAAAGCAUCGGAACGUGCCCUGGAGUGGGGGGAUAACGUAGCGAAAGUUACGCUAAUACCGCAUAUUCUGUGAGCAGGAAAGCAGGGGAUCGCAAGACCUUGCGCUCUGGGAGCGGCCGAUGUCGGAUUAGCUAGUUGGUGGGGUAAAGGCCUACCAAGGCGACGAUCCGUAGCGGGUCUGAGAGGAUGAUCCGCCACACUGGGACUGAGACACGGCCCAGACUCCUACGGGAGGCAGCAGUGGGGAAUUUUGGACAAUGGGCGAAAGCCUGAUCCAGCCAUGCCGCGUGAGUGAAGAAGGCCU